CACGUAGGGUGCGAGCGUUGUCCGGAAUUAUUGGGCGUAAAGAGCUCGUAGGCGGUGUGCCGCGUCGGCCGUGAAAACCUGCAGCUUAACUGUGGGCUUGCGGUCGAUACGGGCAUCACUGGAGUUCGGCAGGGGAGACUGGAAUUCCUGGUGUAGCGGUGAAAUGCGCAGAUAUCAGGAGGAACACCGGUGGCGAAGGCGGGUCUCUGGGCAGUAACUGACGCUGAGGAGCGAAAGCGUGGGGAGCGAACAGG
rnacentral:rRNA from 1 species